UACGGAGGGUGCGAGCGUUGUCCGGAAUCACUGGGCGUAAAGGGCGCGUAGGUGGCCUGUGGAAGUCUGCGGUGAAAGCCCGGCGCUCAACGCCGGGUCGGCCGUGGAUACUCUCGGGCUCGAGCUUACUAGAGGCAGAUGGAAUUCCGGGUGUAGCGGUGGAAUGCGUAGAGAUCCGGAAGAACACCGGUGGCGAAGGCGGUCUGCUGGGGUAAUG
rnacentral:rRNA from 1 species